rnacentral:rRNA from 1 species
GUGAGUAGUUCAGAGUUUGAUCCUGGCUCAGGAUGAACGCUGGCGGCGUGCUUAACACAUGCAAGUCGAACGAAGCAGUUUAUUCAGAUCCCUUCGGGGUGACGAAUUUAUUGACUGAGUGGCGGACGGGUGAGUAACGCGUGGGUAACCUGCCUUACACAGGGGGAUAACAGUUAGAAAUGACUGCUAAUACCGCAUAACCCGCUAGUACCGCAUGGUACGGACGGAAAAGAUUUAUCGGUGUAAGAUGGACCCGCGUCUGAUUAGCUGGUUGGUGAGGUAACGGCUCACCAAGGCGACGAUCAGUAGCCGGCUUGAGAGAGUGAACGGCCACAUUGGAACUGAGACACGGUCCAA